UACGUAGGGGGCAAGCGUUGUCCGAAAUCAUUGGGCGUAAAGAGCGUGUAGGCGGCCAGAAAAGUCCGCUGUGAAAACUCGAGGCUCAACUUCGAGCUGUCGGUGGAAACUUUCUGGCUAGAGUCCGGAAGAGGAGAGUGGAAUUCCUGGUGUAGCGGUGAAAUGCGCAGAUAUCAGGAGGAACACCGGUGGCGAAGGCGGGUCUCUGGGCCGAUACUGACGCUGAGGAGCGAAAGCAUGGGUAGCGAACAGG
rnacentral:rRNA from 1 species